AUUGAACGCUGGCGGCAGGCCUAACACAUGCAAGUAGAACGAGUGGCGGACGGGUGAGUAAUGUAUGGGAAACUGCACGAUGGAGGGGGAUAAAUACUGGAAACGGUAGCUAAUACCGCAUACCAUCGGAUGUGCCCAGAUGGGAUUAGCUGGUAGGUGGGGUAACGGCAGACCUAGGCGACGAUCCCUAGCUGGUCUGAGAUGCUGAACAGCCACACUGGAACUUAGACACGGUCCAUGCUCCUACGGGAGUCAGCAGUGGGGAAUAUUGCACAAUGGGCGCAAUCCUGAUGCAGCCAGGCCGCGUGUAUGAAGAAGUCCUUCGGGUUGUAAAGUACUUUCAGCGAGGAGGCGUUACUCGCAGAAGAAGCACCGGCUAACUCCGUGCCAGCAGCCGCGGUAAUUC
rnacentral:rRNA from 1 species